CCUACGGGAGGCAGCAGUGGGGAAUAUUGCACAAUGGGGGAAACCCUGAUGCAGCGACGCCGCGUGAGUGAAGAAGUAAUUCGUUAUGUAAAGCUCUAUCAGCAGGGAAGAAAAUGACGGUACCUGAGUAAGAAGCCACGGCUAACUACGUGCCAGCAGCCGCGGUAAUACGUAGGGGGCGAGCGUUAACCGGAUUUACUGGGUGUAAAGGGAGCGUAGAGGGCAGUGCAAGUCUGGAGUGAAAGGGGGGGGCUCAACCCCCGGACUGCCCUGGAAACUGUACGGCUGGAGUGCAGGAGAGGUAAGUGGAAUUCCUAGUGUAGCGGUGAAAUGCGUAGAUAUUAGGAGGAACACCAGUGGCGAAGGCGGCUUACUGGACUGUAACUGACGUUGAGGCUCGAAAGCGUGGGGAGCAAACAGGAUUAGAUACCCGUGUAGUC
rnacentral:rRNA from 1 species